rnacentral:rRNA from 1 species
ACGAACGCUGGCGACGUGCUUAACCCAUGCCAGUCGCACGGAAAGGCCCUGCUUUUGUGGGGUGCUCGAGUGGCGAACGGGUGAGUAACACGUGAGUAACCUGCCCUUGACUUUGGGAUAACUUCAGGAAACUGGGGCUAAUACCGGAUAGGAGCUCCUGCUGCAUGGUGGGGGUUGGAAAGUUUCGGCGGUUGGGGAUGGACUCGCGGCUUAUCAGCUUGUUGGUGGGGUAGUGGCUUACCAAGGCUUUGACGGGUAGCCGGCCUGAGAGGGUGACCGGCCACAUUGGGACUGAGAUACGGCCCAGACUCCUACGGGAGGCAGCAGUGGGGAAUAUUGCACAAUGGGCGGAAGCCUGAUGCAGCAACGCCGCGUGCGGGAUGACGGCCUUCGGGUUGUAAACCGCUUUCGCCUGUGACGAAGCGUGAGUGACGGUAAUGGGUAAAGAAGCACCGGCUAACUACGUG